rnacentral:rRNA from 1 species
UACGUAGGGAGCAAGCGUUGUCCGGAAUCAUUGGGCGUAAAGAGCGUGUAGGCGGACCAGUAAGUCGGUUGUGAAAGUCAAGGGCUCAACCCUUGGAUGCCGGCCGAUACUGCUGGUCUAGAAUCCGGAAGAGGCGAGUGGAAUUCCUGGUGUAGCGGUGAAAUGCGCAGAUAUCAGGAGGAACACCAAUGGCGAAGGCAGCUCGCUGGGACGGUAUUGACGCUGAGACGCGAAAGCGUGGGGAGCAAACAGG